rnacentral:rRNA from 1 species
AUGAAGACCGACACCGCCAAGCCCGUCGGCGAGCACCGGACGGCGGUGCUGCAGGUGACGGAAAUCGUGCCGUCGGACAUGAACGAGGUGGACCUGUUUCCCAAACAUGGCUGGUUCAACGCCGACCUCGUCCUCACCAACAAGCUCAGCCUCGGCCAGUUCCUGCACAUCGACCGCCUCGACCCGGGCUCCCCCUUCCCCAUCCUCGUCGGCGCCAGGCCCAUCCCUGGCCGCCACCCGCUCGUCCGCGGCACCCUCGAGCCCCCCAAGGAGCCCGCUGCGCUCAAGAGGAUCUUCUGGUUCCCCGAGAACCGUAGCGGCGCAGGGGGUGUCGGGGUGCUCGCGUCGCCGAAGGUCAUCAGGCCGAUCGCUCUGAGCUUCAAGGAGAGUACGCCCGCCAAGGAGCGGUCGUCGCAGGAGCGCAGCUUGGCCUCCGUCAGUAGGAGCACCAGCUUCAUGCACAGGCUCACCCACAAACGGAGAUUCGUCGCCGACCGGGGCGACCCUCCUCGGCCGCCGUACAAGAUCCCCAAAAGGAGCCCCUUCCCACCUGAGAAGUGCAAGAUGAGCUACACGGCCGUGCCGAGCAUGAGCAAGAGGCCCAGGGUGAAGGCGCCCUCCUCGCCGGUCUCCGACGAGUACGCCGGCAACACCGCCGCGUCCUCCAAGUGGCCCCCUCAUCGGCCGCUCGGGUGCUGGUGCCAGGGAAGCUCAGCUCCCUCGGCGAGGAUUGAAGCCAUGGAGCAGAGGGAGCAGGUGCAGAAGGUGGCGCUGUGCAGUGUGUCGGCGCUGAGGAAGAGGAUCGUUAAUUGA